rnacentral:rRNA from 1 species
UGGGGAAUAUUGGACAAUGGGCGCAAGCCUGAUCCAGCCAUGCCGCGUGAGUGAUGAAGGCCUUAGGGUUGUAAAGCUCUUUUGUCAGGGAAGAUAAUGACGGUACCUGAAGAAUAAGCACCGGCUAACUUCGUGCCAGCAGCCGCGGUAAUACGAAGGGUGCUAGCGUUGUUCGGAAUUACUGGGCGUAAAGCGCGCGUAGGCGGUCAUUCAAGUCAGAGGUGAAAUCCCUGGGCUCAACCCAGGAAUUGCCUUUGAAACUGUAUGACUAGAGUGUCGGAGGGGAUAGCGGAAUUCCUAAUGUAGAGGUGAAAUUCGUAGAUAUUAGGAGGAACACCGGUGGCGAAGGCGGCUAUCUGGACGACAACUGACGCUGAGGCGCGAAAGCACGGGGAUCAAACAGGAUUAGAUACCCCGGUAGUCC